rnacentral:rRNA from 1 species
GACGAACGCUGGCGGCGUGCUUAACACAUGCAAGUCGAACGGAAAGGCCUUUUCGGAGGUACUCGAGUGGCGAACGGGUGAGUAACACGUGGGUGAUCUGCCCUGCACUCUGGGAUAAGCCUGGGAAACUGGGUCUAAUACCGGAUAGGACCGCACUUUAGUGUGUGUGGUGGAAAGUUUUUUCGGUGUAGGAUGAGCCCGCGGCCUAUCAGCUUGUUGGUGGGGUAAUGGCCUACCAAGGCGGCGACGGGUAGCCGGACUGAGAGGUUGGUCGGCCACAUUGGGACUGAGAGACGGCCCAGACUCCUACGGGAGGCAGCAGUGGGGAAUAUUGCACAAGGGGCGCAAGCCUGAUGCAGCGACGCCGCGUGGGGGAUGACGGCCUUCGGGUUGUAAACUCCUUUCGCCAGGGACGAAGCGUUUUGUGACGGUACCUGGAGAAGAAGCACCGGCUAACUACGUG